rnacentral:rRNA from 1 species
GCGCACGCUGGCGGCAGGCUUCACACAUGCCAGUCGCGCGGGCAUAGCAAUAUGUCAGCGGCAGACGGGUGAGUAACGCGUGGGAACGUACCUUUUGGUUCGGAACAACUGAGGGAAACUUCAGCUAAUACCGGAUAAGCCCUUACGGGGAAAGAUUUAUCGCCGAAAGAUCGGCCCGCGUCUGAUUAGCUAGUUGGUGAGGUAAUGGCUCACCAAGGCGACGAUCAGUAGCUGGUCUGAGAGGAUGAUCAGCCACAUUGGGACUGAGACACGGCCCAAACUCCUACGGGAGGCAGCAGUGGGGAAUAUUGGACAAUGGGCGCAAGCCUGAUCCAGCCAUGCCGCGUGAGUGAUGAAGGCCCUAGGGUUGUAAAGCUCUUUUGUGCGGGAAGAUAAUGACGGUACCGCAAGAAUAAGCCCCGGCUAACUUCGUG